UAGGGAUGCAAUUUGCUUGUGAAUCUUGCACAACUGUCACUGGUUCAAUACAGGCUUAAAGGGAUUAAUUCUUUUCUAGAGGGUCCCAAGUGGAUUUUUUAUUAACCUUUUGGGUAAUAAACAUUUAUCUCAUUUUUACAGCAGCAUUUAACACUAUCUAUUUAUGGCCAAAUAUCUCUAAAUCCAUUACAUGAGCUGAAAAUGCACCUGCUUCAGAAAAAACCUCUCUGGAGAACCUGGAGCAGGCACUGAUAAUUGUAAACAAAACAAAACAAGAGCCCAUAAAAUAAAAAUUAAAGUAUUACCUUGAGUAUCAUGUCUUACAGAAUGGCUGCUUUGAACAAAAACCUAAUUGUUAUCAUAGCAUGUCUAUUAAAAAAAGAGAAAGAAUUAAGAGGAUUGAUGGAGUUGGUGUGAAAUUGAGGCGGUUUCUUGUGUGCCCAAGUCACAAGAGCAGCAUCUGGGAUGUUGUAUGUAUAUUGAGAGCAUGACACUAUGAUCUAUGAGCCCACCCUCUGCCUUGGUGCUUAUAAAUUUAUAGCCUCCAAAACUGUUUUGAAUGCUCUGUAUGAAGAAAUAAUAAUGUGGGCUAGAGGUAGAAGCAACCCAGGUAAAUCCCACAUUUGGUGCUGUCUCUUCUCCUUAAAACCCUGGAGAAUCAACACAGGUUUUACAGGGGUAAGGAUGAGAAAGGAAUGGAGGAAAAUACUACCUGCCAUCCAAAGAACUUCUCUGCAUGCUGUGAGCACAGGUAACACAGAACAGAGAGGGUGCACACCUGAAACCUGCAACAGCAUUCUCAGGGGAAACAGAUUUUAAGCACAUGUUGAUUUAAAUGUCAUCUUACUUUCCUGAAGUUAGGCAUGUGCUUGAGAGCUUUGAAUUAGAAUUGUAGUAACAGUCCCAUUAAAAAAACAAAAAGUUUUCUAGAAAAUCUGAUUGAGUUUCAAGUUACAAUAUCAUUCUUCUUGGAGGUCUAUUGGAUUUUCAUGACCUCAAAAUCUUUAAGAUUAAGCUAGCUUCAAGUUUGGACAAGUGUUGGGAUUUAAUCAGAGCUGCAUAUCUCCUUACCAGUUACUAAUGGACUGCUAAUGUUGUACAUGUACAACAACUUUUCCUAAAAGGUCAUCAUUUUCUUAUUAUGAAGCAUACAGUUUUUCAUAGUCCCUAUGUUUUCCAAAAGUUACACAAUUCAGUUUCCUGAAAAGUUAUUUAUUUGGAGCAGCAUGACAGGAGGUGUAAAUGUCCAUGGCAUUGAGACAACCUGAAAAUUUGCCAUUUUAGAAAUAAGUCUUUUCACUUACUUAUUCUGUAAAUAUAGCUGCUCAUAAUGCAGUAGUGACUAUUUCAAAAUAUGUGAAUCUCUUAUAUCUAAAAGGUAGAAAUGGGGGUCAAAGAAAUUGCAUUAAGCAGCAUGAAAGAAAGAAGCACUCUUUUUGCUGGGCUGAUCAAAUUAAUUAUGCUAAAUAGCUGAAAAUAGAGGGAAAUGAGACAGAAUUAGCCCUUCAAAGGAUGCUUAAGGCAAAGCCAGAAAUGAGCCCACUUCAGAGUGGUCUAGUGAUAUUUACAGCCGGGGAUCUUAUGCUGUGCCCUCUGGCUAACACCAGUUCAUUACUGGUGCGGGUUCCUGUGGCACAACUGUGCCAUAGGAGAGCAGAGGACGAGAGCUGUGAAGUUCUGGGAUGCCACUGCCACUAAACAUGCAGGUUUUUAGAGACUUUUUAGCAAUUAGUAACUGCUGAAUUUUGAUUUGCCAUUUACAUAAUGUGAUUUUUCCUUUUCUGUAAGUGGAAGCUAAGAGCUUCCCAAGAAGUUGUGUAUUUGGAGGGAAUAGGUAAAUGUACACCAAGCCAAAUUUCUAUAGCAUGUACACCUGUGCAGCCCAGAGGGAGCAAUGGAAUCAAACAAAUUUAAUGGAAGAACAGGAAGUGAGGGGGGAAACUGUAGUAAGUUUUCAUUCAUAUAUCAAAAUAAAUGAUAACAGUAUUUAUUCCCGAUGUUGAAUCUGUUCACAAGGUGAUUUUGACUUAAUUUAAUGUGUAAUCUUCCUGCUGCUGCAGUGUUCUGAAAAUUGAUUGUGCUCAAUUCCCAACAUAAAAGCAGUUUGCUGGUACUAUCAAUUUAAUCAUAGCUGCAUUUUGGUUAAAAUAUUUGUCCUAUUGAUAUCAGUAUUUAUCUCUUUCCUUACCCGAGUUGACAAUGUAAUCAAAGUACCAGAAUCUCUACAUGCUGUGUAGAGAUUUUCUUAAUAUUUACUACUGUGCAUGUAAUCUCAAGCAAAAAUAGAAGACAAGAUAUUGCAUAGGCGAGGAGCAGAUCAGGAGCAUUUGCUUUGGUUUUAGGGUUUUGUUUUGCUCUGGUUUUGAUUAAUACAAGGCAAAACUUUCUUUUGUAGAAGUCAUGGUAUAUCCUUUCCACAACAGCUAUGGGCUUAAGUCUUCCCCUCCUGUCUCUAUCAGUCAGGAAAUGUGUGAGUAAGAAGUAGAGACUGUUCCCAAUAGUUCUCAUUAUUCAGUGAAGGUCACUGAUUUUCUGGUACUCAACCAGAAAAGACUUAACACAAGAAAUUAAACAAUGGCUUUACUGAAGGUUUAAAGUCUUUUGUACUAGGAAAUAUUCCACUGCAUAGGGAAUAAUAAAUGGAACAAGGUUUGUAAGACCACUCUUUAAAAUCUAAAAUCUCAUCUAUUUUUUUACAUUUACAUCUCUUUACAUUUACAUGUGGGUUAUUAUAUCUACUUUCACAAUAGAGAACCUUAGGCUCAGGAAUAGUUCAUAUGUGGGUCAUGUAGUGUAUCCACAGAAGAAUUAGAAGUACAGAAUUGUCCUUCUGUCUGAAUCUGACUGUACAGUAACCACUGUACAGGACUAGGUAAAUAAAAGCCUGAUGAGAGGUUUACAGAGGCCUUUGAAGCUCUUUCUAUUGUGAGAAGUUAACCCUUUGAGAAUGAACAGUUGCUCAUUGAAGUAGACAGCAAGAAAUCCACUGCAGUAAAGUUAUUAGGACAUAUUCUUGAGACAAGAUGAAAUGCUUCCCUGGGUGGAACUACUUAGCCAACAAGGUUGUUAGGAUUAUAUAAUGGUAGGGGUUCCUCCAUAAAUAAUAUAUGUGUAAAUCCCUUGAGAGCUAUGUGUUACUUAAUAGAAUAUUCUGCAUACUGAAAAUGAUAACUGCAGAAAAUACUAAAUCUACAGAGCACUCUCAGCAUUGCUAGGACUUAAAUUAUGCUUCUUCACACCAAAAAAAACUCCAACCUUUAUGAGAAGAUGUUACUUGCUGACCGUCUAAAGCAUGUAAUUUAAAUCUGAAUGGUUUCAAAACUUGAAUUAGAAAAUUGAGUGACUCAUCCAAUUCAACAUAAAGAAACAUGAAGUAAUGAGAUUGGAAGGGAAGGUAAUGAAGAGAAAAUUUUACUGUUAUUUCUUAUAGGUUAUGGGGAUAUGAACAAAAGAAAGAUGUGGUACUGAUUUGAAAUAAGCUCUCUGAAGUAAUGAAAUAAUUUUCAAUAGCAAUAUCAAAACCUUAGGAGCAAGGCAAAGUUUUAAUGCUAGGGACCUCAUUUAUUAAACCAAGAAAUGCCAUGGUAAACAAACUGAUGGGGCGAAAGGUUAUUCCUCUGGGAGAGUUCUGUGACACAUUAACACUACAAAUCCAAGUCUGUGAAAAUAAAAGACGCUCCUGAGCUCUGUUACAGAAUACAUGUGAGUUUAGAAGUGAUUUGUGUACAUAUUAGGAAAAAGAAAGCAUGGAAAUAAAGCUUGUUACCAGACUUCAGUGGCCCACGACUUGUGAACACAGGGAUUUUGUGUUUCCACCAUCUCGGCUUCCAAAUGAUUUAGGUAUAUUGGAAACAGAGAUGUGGCUUUGGCUUUUCUGUUGCAGUCACCAAUACUGAGAUUAGACAGGUGCUAAAAUCCUGCACUUGUGCUCCCCAAACCAGGCCUCCAGUACCUGCUUUCCUUGGAGAGUGCUUUGAUAGGAAACAGAGAAAUGUUAGUGGAACUUCUUGUUUGCCAAGAUAAGAAUUCCCUGACCUUGAGUCCAAAACUGAACUAAUACCUGAUUUGAAUUGCUACAAUAGGUAAUUACAUUCAGACUGAAGAAAAAUGGUUGAAAAAAAUCUUGGAUUCUUCAGUUACGGGCAGAGUCCUCUUUCUCUUCAAAACACAUUGAGAGAUUACUCUUUUAGUUAAGAAAUCUUUCAGAUAAAUUACGUUUGGGGAUUGUCAGUUGUAUUCUCUGGUAUUUCAACAAAAUGAGUUGGAUAAGGACACAUCACAGAUAAUAGGACUGCUGGAACAUCAGAUGAAGAACCACAGAGUCAAAUGAGCACUGCUGAGAGCUGAGGGCAAAGCAAGAAGUGCGUUCACAAUGCUGUGCUCAGUGCAGGCCCCAAUCUGAAUGCAGUCAGCUGCUCUCUCGUCCAAACACGUCAGUGUUUUAGAGGACAGGGCUGAUGUAAGAAGAGAUGCAGUUGUGUAAAUGAUUGUUUAAUGUGAUGUCAGUGGACAGCAGGCAGAGCUGUUGAGAACAGGUAAACUGCAAAAAUACAAAUAACUAAAGUACCUGAAAAUAGUUUGAAUCAAACAAGAAAAUGGAAAAAACUUUACUUUGUUCCUUGUGAGGGCUGCAGAUCGUUGGUUAGUCUCUAGUACCACAGGAGUUUUAAUUUGCCACAGUAUUUUCCAGACUAAUUAUUUGCCUAAGUGUUUUCCAGAACCAAUACUAAACUAGCAGUACCAAAAAGUAAAUAAAUAAAUAGUUCUGAGAAUUUUUUUCUAUAGCGGUUUUGAUCUACCUAGAAGCCACUCAAGGAAAGCCAUUUCUUGCUGUGUUUCUGGCUUAUUUUAUGUAUUGCUUGUUGGUUUGACCAAACAUUCAAGCUUCUGAAUUGAUUCAGCCUUUGCCCACAUUUAGAGGUGUCAAAUCACAACUGAAAGCUGGAGGAGCACUCAUUUUUCUCUUUCCCAUUCACAGCUGCCAAGCUCCUGUGUUUUAGCACCUGCCCAAAUUAGCAUGUUCUGCUCCAGCCGAGGACUGACUCCCAGCCAUCUCUUAUGGGCUAAACCCGAGAUUACAAUUGGCUUCAGAAAUGCCAGCCCUUCUCGUGGUCUCUGGCUUUCUUUGUGCCUCAUCCAGCAAGAGCCAGGAUGUAUUCCUAGCUGGUGAAAAUUGAUUUGAACACACAAAAGCCAGGGAUGCUUUAUUGGUUUACAUCUAGCAGGGAUCUGACCUGUCUUUGAACUCUGCCUAGGCUGAUGCUGGUUUUUUUCCCAAAUAUUUUUUUAAGAGUAUGGUGAGCCUCGUCCAAGCUUUAAUUUAUGGAGCAUCACUUCUGUGAGUGGGCAUGAAAUUGAGUUUACCUUUGCUAAUUCAUCAAAUAGCCAGUUAAAAUCUAUUCAGGCAAACCAAAUCUUAUGCAAAACAUCCUUCAUGGCCUAGGCCCUCCACAAGAAGCACAAAUUUCAGGACUGUGCUGUCACCAUAGCUUCAAGUUUUGAUAAAUACCACCCUGUGUGGCUGCUGAGCACUGCCAUGUGGGAAGUUAGUGCCCAGGGAUAAAUCCUGACUGUGAGUGAGGGAAUGUAAACUAAUGAGAGCAGACACACACCAAGCCUCUUCCAACUUGGCUAGGAAAAAAAAAAAGAAAAAAAAAA
ensembl:lncRNA